ACUCCUACGGGAGGCAGCAGUGGGGAAUAUUGCACAAUGGGCGCAAGCCUGAUGCAGCCAUGCCGCGUGUGUGAAGAAGGCCUUCGGGUUGUAAAGCACUUUCAGUCGUGAGGAGGUAGUGUAGUUAAUGAGCUGCUAUUAUUUGACGAUUAGACGAACAGAAGGAAGACACCGGCUAACUCCGUGCCAGCAGCCGCGGUAAUACGGAGGGUGCGAGCGUUAAUCGGAAUUACUGGGCGUAAAGCGCAUGCAGGUGGCUUUGUUAAGUCAGAUGUGAAAGCCCGGGGCUCAACCUCGGAAUUGCAUUUGAAACUGGCAGACUAGAGUACUGUAGAGGGGGGUAGAAUUUCAGGUGUAGCGGUGAAAUGCGUAGAGAUCUGAAGGAAUACC
rnacentral:rRNA from 1 species